AACGAACGCUGGCGGCAUGCCUAACACAUGCAAGUCGAACGAGACCUUCGGGUCUAGUGGCGCACGGGUGCGUAACGCGUGGGAACCUGCCCUUAGGUUCGGAAUAACUCCCCGAAAGGGGUGCUAAUACCGGAUAAUGUCUUCGGACCAAAGAUUUAUCGCCUUUGGAUGGGCCCGCGUUGGAUUAGCUAGUUGGUAGGGUAAAAGCCUACCAAGGCGACGAUCCAUAGCUGGUCUGAGAGGAUGAUCAGCCACACUGGGACUGAGACACGGCCCAGACUCCUACGGAAGGCAGCAGUGGGGAAUAUUGGACAGUGGGCGAAGGCCUGAUCCAGCAAUGCCGCGUGAGUGAUGAAGGCCUUAGGGUUGUAAAGCUCUUUUACCCGGGAUGAUAAUGACAGUACCGGGAGAAUAAGCGCCGGCUAACUCCGUG
rnacentral:rRNA from 1 species